GAAGCAGUCUUUUUUUUUUGUGGGCUUAUCUCCAGAGAGAUAGCCAUCUCAGGAGGCACUGACCCAAGCACCCAGGAAUGCCAUGUUGGCAGAAGGAGGAUACAAAAGGGACCAACAACUGUGAGAGUCGGCAAUGUUGCUGCUGCUCUCCCUCUGUGCUUUUGCCUCAGACCAUCGGAACAGCAUGCAACAGGAUACUGCUGGAUCUUGGUGUUUGAAUGCACCGCAAGAAGGUCAGACCGAGGAAGACGUUGAGCCUUCGCGAGGAAUCCUUCUGACUUCAUCCCCACGACCACCAGAGGGAGACUCCUACUAUGGAUAACGCAUGUGCCAGGGGAGGGGCAGUAUGUAAAUGAAUUUCCGGAAGAUUAAUGAGUAAGUAGAUGGGUUCCAAAAAUUCUGCUGAAUAUGUAUGGACUUGGCUUAUAAAUUUGUAGCGUUUUUGCUUGCUGGUGUGCAAGUUUGGUGGAG
ensembl:lncRNA